GGCUGUUCUGGAGGUAGUGCGUUACCUCAAUUGAUAACUCACACAGUCAGUUACAAAUUGAACUCCUGUUCUGUUUCCCUCUAACCCCUCCCCCCCCACACUCACUACUGCACUUGACUAGAGACAGAG
rnacentral:Y_RNA from 1 species